rnacentral:tRNA from 1 species
GCCGAUGUGGCGGAAUUGGUAGACGCGCUACCUUGAGGGGGUAGUAAGCUAGGCUUGUGCCGGUUCGACUCCGGCCAUCGGCACCA